UGGGGAAUAUUGGACAAUGGGCGAAAGCCUGAUCCAGCCAUGCCGCGUGUGUGAAGAAGGUCUUCGGAUUGUAAAGCACUUUAAGUUGGGAGGAAGGGCAUUAACCUAAUACGUUAGUGUUUUGACGUUACCGACAGAAUAAGCACCGGCUAACUCUGUGCCAGCAGCCGCGGUAAUACAGAGGGUGCAAGCGUUAAUCGGAGUUACUGGGCGUAAAGCGCGCGUAGGUGGUCUGUUAAGUUGGAUGUGAAAUCCCCGGGCUCAACCUGGGAACUGCAUUCAAAACUGACUGACUAGAGUAUGGUAGAGGGUGGUGGAAUUUCCUGUGUAGCGGUGAAAUGCGUAGAUAUAGGAAGGAACACCAGUGGCGAAGGCGACCACCUGGACUAAUACUGACACUGAGGUGCGAAAGCGUGGGGAGCAAACA
rnacentral:rRNA from 1 species